GGGGAAACUCGAAUUAAUACCGCAUACGACCUACGGGUGAAGGGGGGCGCAAGCUCUUGCUAUUAGAUGAGCCUAAAUCAGAUUAGCUAGUUGGUGGGGUAAAGGCCUACCAAGGCGACGAUCUGUAACUGGUCUGAGAGGAUGAUCAGUCACACCGGAACUGAGACACGGUCCGGACUCCUACGGGAGGCAGCAGUGGGGAAUAUUGGACAAUGGGGGCAACCCUGAUCCAGCCAUGCCGCGUGUGUGAAGAAGGCCUUUUGGUUGUAAAGCACUUUAAGCAGGGAGGAGAGGCUAAUGGUUAAUACCCAUUAGAUUAGACGUUACCUGCAGAAUAAGCACCGGCUAACUCUGUGCCAGCAGCCGCGGUAAUACAGAGGGUGCGAGCGUUAAUCGGAAUUACUGGGCGUAAAGCGAGUGUAGGUGGCUCAUUAAGUCACAUGUGAAAUCCCCGGGCUUAACCUGGGAACUGCAUGUGAUACUGGUGGUGCUAGAAUAUGUGAGAGGGAAGUAGAAUUCCAGGUGUAGCGGUGAAAUGCGUAGAGAUCUGGAGGAAUACCGAUGGCGAAGGCAGCUUCCUGGCAUAAUAUUGACACUGAGAUUCGAAAGCGUGGGUAGCAAACAGGAUUAGAUACCCUGGUAGUCCACGCCGUAAACGAUGUCUACUAGCCGUUGGGGUCCUUGAGACUUUAGUGGCGCAGUUAACGCGAUAAGUAGACCGCCUGGGGAGUACGGCCGCAAGGUUAAAACUCAAAUGAAUUGACGGGGGCCCGCACAAGCGGUGGAGCAUGUGGUUUAAUUCGAUGCAACGCGAAGAACCUUACCUGGUCUUGACAUAGUGAGAAUCUUUCAGAGAUGAGAGAGUGCCUUCGGGAAUUCACAUACAGGUGCUGCAUGGCUGUCGUCAGCUCGUGUCGUGAGAUGUUGGGUUAAGUCCCGCAACGAGCGCAACCCUUUUCCUUAUUUGCCAGCGGGUUAAGCCGGGAACUUUAAGGAUACUGCCAGUGACAAACUGGAGGAAGGCGGGGACGACGUCAAGUCAUCAUGGCCCUUACGACCAGGGCUACACACGUGCUACAAUGGUAGGUACAGAGGGUUGCUACACAGCGAUGUGAUGCUAAUCUCAAAAAGCCUAUCGUAGUCCGGAUUGGAGUCUGCAACUCGACUCCAUAAAGUCGGAAUCGCUAGUAAUCGCAGAUCAGAAUGCUGCGGUGAAUACGUUCCCGG
rnacentral:rRNA from 1 species